rnacentral:tRNA from 1 species
GGGGCGUUAGCUCAGCCGGUUAGAGCAGCGGACUCAUAAUCCGUCGGUCGCGGGUUCAAGCCCGCACGCCCCAC